UAGGGAAUCUUCGGCAAUGGACGAAAGUCUGACCGAGCAACGCCGCGUGAGUGAAGAAGGUUUUCGAAUCGUAAACUCUGUUGGUAGAGAAGAACGUUGGUGAGAGUGGAAAGCUCAUCAAGUGACGGUAACUACCCAGAAAGGGACGGCUAACUACGUGUCAG
rnacentral:rRNA from 1 species